GAUGAACGCUGGCGGCGUGCCUAAUACAUGCAAGUCGAGCGAACGGACGAGAAGCUUGCUUCUCUGACGUUAGCGGCGGACGGGUGAGUAACACGUGGAUAACCUACCUAUAAGACUGGGAUAACUUCGGGAAACCGGAGCUAAUACCGGAUAAUAUUUUGAACCGCAUGGUUCAAAAGUGAAAGACGGUCUUGCUGUCACUUAUAGAUGGAUCCGCGCUGCAUUAGCUAGUUGGUAAGGUAACGGCUUACCAAGGCAACGAUGCAUAGCCGACCUGAGAGGGUGAUCGGCCACACUGGAACUGAGACACGGUCCAGACUCCUACGGGAGGCAGCAGUAGGGAAUCUUCCGCAAUGGGCGAAAGCCUGACGGAGCAACGCCGCGUGAGUGAUGAAGGUCUUCCGAUCGUAAAACUCUGUUAUUAGGGAAGAACAUAUGUGUAAGUAACUGUGCACAUCUUGACGGUACCUAAUCAGAAAGCCACGGGUUACUACGUGGCAGCAGCCGCGGUAAUACCUAAGUGGCAAGCGUUAUCCCGAAUUAUUGGGCGUAAAGCGCGCGUAGCGGUUUUUUAAGUCUGAUGUGAAAGCCCACGGCUCAACCGUGGAGGGUCAUUGGAAACUGGAAAACUUGAGUGCAGAAGAGGAAAGUGGAAUUCCAUGUGUAGCGGUGAAAUGCGCAGAGAUAUGGAGGAACACCAGUGGCGAAGGCGACUUUCUGGUCUGUAACUGACGCUGAUGUGCGAAAGCGUGGGGAUCAAACAGGAUUAGAUACCCUGGUAGUCCACGCCGUAAACGAUGAGUGCUAAGUGUUAGGGGGUUUCCGCCCCUUAGUGCUGCAGCUAACGCAUUAAGCACUCCGCCUGGGGAGUACGACCGCAAGGUUGAAACUCAAAGGAAUUGACGGGGACCCGCACAAGCGGUGGAGCAUGUGGUUUAAUUCGAAGCAACGCGAAGAACCUUACCAAAUCUUGACAUCCUUUGACAACUCUAGAGAUAGAGCCUUCCCCUUCGGGGGACAAAGUGACAGGUGGUGCAUGGUUGUCGUCAGCUCGUGUCGUGAGAUGUUGGGCUAAGUCCCGCAACGAGCGCAACCCUUAAGCUUAGUUGCCAUCAUUAAGUUGGGCACUCUAAGUUGACUGCCGGUGACAAACCGGAGGAAGGUGGGGAUGACGUCAAAUCAUCAUGCCCCUUAUGAUUUGGGCUACACACGUGCUACAAUGGACAAUACAAAGGGCAGCGAAACCGCGAGGUCAAGCAAAUCCCAUAAAGUUGUUCUCAGUUCGGAUUGUAGUCUGCAACUCGACUACAUGAAGCUGGAAUCGCUAGUAAUCGUAGAUCAGCAUGCUACGGUGAAUACGUUCCCGGGUCU
rnacentral:rRNA from 1 species